AGCUCCAAUAGCGUAUAUUAAAGUUGCUGCAGUUAAAAAGCUCGUAGUUGCAUUUCCGAGGCAAGGGAUUAGUCCGACCUUUGGUGGGGAUUUAAUCCUCUUGCCUCGUCCUUGAGUGGGGCUUCUUGGUAUUAAGUUAUCGAGGAGAUAGCCGCUCAUCGUUUACUGUGAGAAAAUUAGAGUGUUCAAAGCAGGCUUAUGCCGUUGAAUAUAUUAGCAUGGAAUAAUAAGAUAGGACCUCGGUACUAUUUUGUUGGUUUGAGAACCAAGGUAAUGAUGAAUAGGGACAGUUGGGGGUAUUCGUAUUCAGUUGUCAGAGGUGAAAUUCUUAGAUUUACGGAAGACGAACUACUGCGAAAGCAUUUACCAAGGAUGUUUUCA
rnacentral:rRNA from 1 species